rnacentral:rRNA from 1 species
AUUGAACGCUGGCGGCAGGCCUAACACAUGCAAGUCGAGCGGCAGCGGGAAAGUAGCUUGCUACUUUUGCCGGCGAGCGGCGGACGGGUGAGUAAUGCCUGGGAAAUUGCCCAGUCGAGGGGGAUAACAGUUGGAAACGACUGCUAAUACCGCAUACGCCCUACGGGGGAAAGCAGGGGACCUUCGGGCCUUGCGCGACUGGAUAUGCCCAGGUGGGAUUAGCUAGUUGGUGAGGUAAUGGCUCACCAAGGCGACGAGCCCUAGCUGGUCUGAGAGGAUGAUCAGCCACACUGGAACUGAGACACGGUCCAGACUCCUACGGGAGGCAGCAGUGGGGAAUAUUGCACAAUGGGGGAAACCCUGAUGCAGCCAUGCCGCGUGUGUGAAGAAGGCCUUCGGGUUGUAAAGCACUUUCAGCGAGGAGGAAAGGUUGAUGCCUAAUACGCAUCAACCGUGGCGUUACUCGCAGAAGAAGCACCGGCUAACUCCGUGCCAGCAGCCGCCGUAA